rnacentral:rRNA from 1 species
UACGAAGGGGGCUAGCGUUGUUCGGAAUCACUGGGCGUAAAGCGCGCGUAGGCGGACUAUUAAGUCAGAGGUGAAAGCCCAGGGCCUAACCUUGGAACUGCCUUUGAAACUAAUAGUCUGGAGACUCGGAGGGGAUAGCGGAAUUCCAAAUGUAGGGGUGAAAUCCGUAGAUAUUUGGAGGAACACCGGUGGCGAAGGCGGCUAUCUGGACGAGUACUGACGCUGAGGCGCGAAAGCGUGGGGAGCAAACAGG